GUGUCAGCAGCCGCGGUAAUACGGAGGGUGCAAGCGUUAUCCGGAUUUACUGGGUUUAAAGGGUGUGUAGGCGGAUAUUUAAGUCAGAGGUGAAAUCUCCGGGCUCAACCCGGAAACUGCCUUUGAUACUAUUUAUCUUGAAUUUCGUUGAGGUUGGCGGAAUAUAUCAUGUAGCGGUGAAAUGCAUAGAUAUGAUAUAGAACACCGAUUGCGUAGGCAGCUGGCUGAACGACGAUUGACGCUGAGGCACGAAAGCGUGGGUAGCGAACAGGAUUAGAAACCCUGGUAGUCC
rnacentral:rRNA from 1 species